rnacentral:ncRNA from 1 species
AUCUUAUCAAGAGAAGCUGAGGGACUGGCCCGUUGAAGCUUCAGCAACCGGUUUAUGUAAGAGGAGACCUAGAAAUGAGGAACAGCUUUCCAAAUUUCCACUCCCAUCAUACCAAGGUGCUAAUUCCAGCUAAGCAUUUCGAUGCUUGAAAGAUAAGGA